rnacentral:rRNA from 1 species
UCGGGAAUUUUGGGCAAUGGGCGAAAGCCUGACCCAGCAACGCCGCGUGAAGGAUGAAGUAUUUCGGUAUGUAAACUUCGAAAGAAUAGGAAGAAUAAAUGACGGUACUAUUUAUAAGGUCCGGCUAACUACGUGCCAGCAGCCGCGGUAAUACGUAGGGACCAAGCGUUGUUCGGAUUUACUGGGCGUAAAGGGUGCGUAGGUUGUUUGAUAAGAUAUAUGUGAAAUACCUGGGCUCAACCUGGGAAGGUCAUAUAAGACUGUCAGACUCGAGUAUGGGAGAGGGUAGAGGAAUUUCCGGUGUAGCGGUGAAAUGCGUAGAUAUCGGAAGGAACAUCGGUGGCGAAGGCGUCUACCUGGCCUAAUACUGACACUGAGGCACGAAAGCGUGGGGAGCAAACAGGAUUAGAUACCCUGGUAGUCCCUGAGCGGGCUGGCAAGGCGCAU